rnacentral:lncRNA from 1 species
UUUUUGUUCUUGUUUUGAACCUCUCAUCAUGUGUUCCUGUCAAUUACCAUUUCCUAGGCACUGAAGGGCCAGUAGUGAACUGGCAGUGAUCAUGACAGAGCCCCUCAUCACUCCAGCCCUCAGCACAUGGGCCCAGGUGUCAUGGAUGAUAUGCUCUGCUGAGGAAGAUCACAGUGAUCUUGAUAUGAUGGUGCAGGUAUAUAAAUUUCUUUCACUCAUUCAGUGCCUUCAAGAGGCUCUUGGUGAUAUAUGUGGGAUUUCUGUGCCUAGCUAACAUGAACACUGAAGAAAGAAGAGAGCCCUUUAGUUUUCUCCUGCCUGUGUAAAUCUUCAGAUGUUCUGAGCUGUCUUUUGAUACUCUUCAGAGGAAUAGCUGGAGCCUGCUCGAGAAUUUAAGUGUGAUAAUCCCAUGUUGCUAGUAGUUUUAUAAGUAAU